rnacentral:rRNA from 1 species
CUUUAAGUAGACCGCCGGGGGAGUACGGUCGCAAGAUUUAAACUCAAAAUGAAUUGACGGGGGCCCGCCCAAGCGGUGGAGCAUGUGGUUUAAUUCGAUGCAACGCGAAGAACCUUACCUACUCCUGACAUCUACAGAAGCCAGCGGAGACGCAGGUGUGCCUUCGGGAACUGUAAGACAGGUGCUGCAUGGCUGUCGUCAGCUCGUGUUGUGAAAUGUUGGGUUAAGUCCCGCAACGAGCGCAACCCUUAUCCUUGUUUGCCAGCACUUCGGGUGGGAACUCCAGGGAGACUGCCGGUGAUAAACCGGAGGAAGGUGGGGACGACGUCAAGUCAUCAUGGCCCUUACGAGUAGGGCUACACACGUGCUACAAUGGCGCAUACAGAGGGCGGCCAACUUGCGAAAGUGAGCGAAUCCCAAAAAGUGCGUCGUAGUCCGGAUUGGAGUCUGCAACUCGACUCCAUGAAGUCGGAAUCGCUAGUAAUCGUGGAUCAGAAUGCCACGGUGAAUACGUUCCCGGGCCUUGUACACACCGCCCGUCACACCAUGGGAGUGGGCUGCAAAAGAAGUGGGUAGUUUAACCUUCGGGAGGACGCUCACCACUUUGUGGUUCAUGACUGGGGUGAAGUCGUAACAAGGUAACCG